rnacentral:lncRNA from 7 species
CCACUUUUCUGUGCGUGACUCACUGCGUCGUGGCCCCCACGCGUCGGAUUCUUCCUCAAUGACCUCGCGAGCACCCUGGCAGAACUUACGGGCACGAUCGCGGCGGGCCGGUGCGGGUCUGACCGAGUCCGGGGGGAUAUAAGACCUAGCGCCGCAGUACCCUGCCCCUUCCCCUAUUCAUUCAACUCCAAUCCAUGCCUUUUGCUUUCCGCCGUCACGAGAGAAGGGAUUGCGGAAGUCCGCCACCGGUGAUUCCCCUCCGUGCCUGCACUCGGGUCUGCACGUGUGGUCGAGGGUGUACGCCGGGAACCAGUGAAGCUGCAAGAGCCCACAAUUCGAACUACGGAGCCUCAGGGCGACGUGAAUUGUUCGCCAGAGUUCUCCAUCCGCCGCGGAGCCGCAACACGUCGGGGAUUGGCUCUCAGCGCUGCACAAUCCUCUG